UUUUAGUAAAUUACACAGAGAAAUCUAGAGCAACAAAAUACAAAACAAAAGGGCAUUGACGACUAGCAGGAUUUAUAACAAAAGAUCAAUCUUCGUUCAACAGACUUCUGGCCAGACCAGAAAACACCAGAGAUCACAUUUGGCAUCUACAGAGGGCCUCAGUCAAUCAAAAAGUUCCUCCAAACCAUUUAAAACCAUGUCUUCCCUCCUAUUCAGAAGGGAAGGCAGAGGAGAGAAAUUCUUCAUCCUCCAAAAAUAUCUGCAGAUUCUUUGUUUUCAUCAAGAACUCAACAGCUGCCUCAUCAAAUUCCAGGAUGAACCCAAACUUGAUCAAUUCAGCCAGCUGAGGCACAAAAUCUUCUUUCUCCUUAAGAAUUCCCUCAGCAACUACUUCAGAG
rnacentral:misc_RNA from 1 species